UGAUGUUCGUUCAGUUGUCAUCUCAAACACAAACAUCGUCAAAGUGAAAUAAAAUUCUGUGCAUCUUUUUUUGUGGUAAUUUUAAAUAAGGUUAACUGAGAAGCCCUGGGCAAAGGCCUCUUACAGCAGUCUUCAAAGUUUCAUCCAUUUGAAAUAUUGUUCAAAUAAUUCAACUAUUUAACAACAAAAUCAAUUUAAAAACCAUA